rnacentral:rRNA from 1 species
GACGAACCGUGCGAACGUUGUUCGGAAUCACUGGGCGUAAAGGGCGCGUAGGCGGCCGAGUUUGUCUUGGGUGAAAUCUUUCGGCUUAACCGGAAAAGGGCCCAGGAAACGGCUCGGCUAGAGGGGGGCAGGGGCGGACGGAACUUCCGGUGGAGCGGUGAAAUGCGUUGAGAUCGGGAGGAACGCCGGUGGCGAAAGCGGUCCGCUGGGCCCCUCCUG